GCGGGGGUGCCCGAGCUUUGGUCGAAGGGGCCGGACUUAAGAUCUAUCAAAGAUAGGCCAUCCGGUGGCCGUAGGGCCUUCGUGGGUUCGAUUCCCACCCCCCGCA
rnacentral:tRNA from 1 species